rnacentral:rRNA from 1 species
GAUGAAACGCUGGCGGCGUGCUUAACACAUGCAAGUCGAGCGAAGCGCUUUGGUUAGAUUCUUCGGAUGAAGACCUUUGUGACUGAGCGGCGGACGGGUGAGUAACGCGUGGGUAACCUGCCUCAUACAGGGGAUAACAGUUAGAAAUGACUGCUAAUACCGCAUAAGACCACAGUACCGCAUGGUACAGGGGUAAAAACUCCGGUGGUAUGAGAAUGGAACCCCGCGGUCUGAUUAAGCUGGUUGGUGGGGUAACGGCCGUACCAAGGCGACGAUCAGUAGCCGGCCUGAGA